UCAAGAUAAGAUUUCCCACCGCAAGGGUAAGACCCCAGAAAGACUAUCUGGUUGAUAGGUUGAAGGUGUAAGUGCAGCAAUGUAUUUAGCUUAUCGAUACUAAUAGGUCGAGGACUUGACCAA
rnacentral:rRNA from 1 species